GAACCCUAGAAAGUUUCACGAGCA
rnacentral:tRNA from 1 species